AACGAACGCUGGCGGCGUGCCUAACACAUGCAAGUCGUGCGAGAAAGUUCCUUCGGGAGCGAGUAAAAGCGGCGCACGGGUGAGUAACACGUAGGUAACCUGCCCCCCAGUCUGGAACAACUAGAGGAAACUCUAGCUAAUGCCGGAUGAGACCACGAUCCCUUCGGGGGUUGCGGCCAAAGAUGGCCUCUACUUGUAAGCUAUCGCUGAGGGAUGGGCCUGCGGGCCAUUAGCUUGUUGGUGAGGUAACGGCUCACCAAGGCUGUGAUGGCUAGCUGGUCUGAGAGGAUGACCAGCCACACUGGGACUGAGACACGGCCCAGACUCCUACGGGAGGCAGCAGUGGGAAUAUUGCGCAAUGGGACGAAGCCUGACGCAGCGACGCCGCGUGGGUGAUGAAGGCCUGGUCGUAAGACCUCGUCGU
rnacentral:rRNA from 1 species